AAUCCAUGUUGUGGACACUUCCACAAUAGGUCCUUGAAUCACUCCUAUGUCUCAAACAAGGACUUGAGCUCCAUCUAAAUAAUCCACGAUAUCUCAUUACGAAGCUU